GGGGAAUAUUGCACAAUGGGCGAAAGCCUGAUGCAGCGACGCCGCGUGAGGGAUGGAGGCCUUCGGGUUGUAAACCUCUUUCGCUCAUGGUCAAGCCGCAACUGUGGGUUGUGGUGAGGGUAGUGGGUAAAGAAGCGCCGGCUAACUACGUGCCAGCAGCCGCGGUAAUACGUAGGGCGCGAGCGUUGUCCGGAAUUAUUGGGCGUAAAGGGCUUGUAGGCGGUUGGUCGCGUCUGCCGUGAAAUUCUCUGGCUUAACUGGGGGCGUGCGGUGGGUACGGGCUGACUUGAGUGCGGUAGGGGAGACUGGAACUCCUGGUGUAGCGGUGGAAUGCGCAGAUAUCAGGAAGAACACCGGUGGCGAAGGCGGGUCUCUGGGCCGUUACUGACGCUGAGGAGCGAAAGCGUGGGGAGCGAACAGGAUUAGAUACCCCGGUAGUCCUGGCCGUAAACGAUGGGUACUAGGUGUAGGAGGUAUCGACCCCUUCUGUGCCGGAGUUAACGCAAUAAGUACCCCGCCUGGGGAGUACGACCGCAAGGUUG
rnacentral:rRNA from 1 species